GUGUUUCCGCAGCGAGAGUCAGCUGAUGCGGACAAGCAUGCGGAAGAAGAAGAUUUGAAAAGUAAAGUUGUAGUGCUUUUACGGAUAGUGCUACAAAUAACGGUCCGCUUUUUAAUCAGUGUCCCUCCCAGCCCCCCAAAGGAAUUAAACUAUUAUUUGGCUUAAUUCAACGGAUUGUCAUAGUCAAGACGUCAAAGUUAAAAGUUAUGGACGACGGAGAAUCCUUGGUUUCAAUGAAUGGCACGCAUGUAAGCUUCAUUGGAAACGACUGUGAGGACAUUCCUGACUUCCUGGGUGACACUUAUGGACAGAUGGCUAAAAGGCUUGACCUCAGCUUCAAUCUGCUCAGGUAAGGCACAACCUCAUUAAGCAGAUGAAUUCAGAUGCAUCUCGUCAUGGAGCAGAUGAGGGAAUCUGGUUAUGGGUUUCUACAAUACUAUACAAAAAUACUAUAUUCUAAAUUUCCAAAGGAAAACAUUGAUAGCCAUUUUGGUGACCGGUCACAAGUGUUGUAUCAAAAAACUUAGAGAAGAAGAUAACAUUCAAUGGAAAUACUCACAAAUUGACGAAACUGUUACUUAAGUAUUUCUACCAGCGUUAAAAUAUCUAUGACAGUGGCGGGGGAACAAUAAAUUAAUUGAUUAGAAAAUAUUGGUUUUGAGAGAUGACUUUAGCUAGUCAAUUGAUGCAAGAUACAAUUAUCAGCAUCAAUAGAACAUUAUCUCAAUCCAUAACAAUCCAUGUUUCCUGUGUGGAGUUGGCAGUUGAAAUCUAUCAUUGCAUCAUGUCUAAUUAAAAAGGCCUGACAGCAACCGUGUGACCCUCUGAUGACACCACACCAUCAUUUGGACAUGGUAGCCAAUGGUAGUGCAGCCUUAGGCUGAUGUCAUGCUUGGCCACGGUUUGAAGGCCUAAUCAAUAAAAUGUGAUGCAAUGGAAUGUGAUUGGGCCGCCUCACAUUAAAUAUGCCAUCCAUCAAACAACCUGUUGUCCUUCAGAGAGCUACUCGGGGGCUGGUUUCGUGCAAGGACACCGUUAGAACAAAGGAAUUAUAUUUUGAAGUGGAUGUGGGGAGUCCCAUGGUUGUACAAUGGUGCAAUGAAACACGGUCGAUGGUGUACGAUGGUCGUGCGAUGGUUGUACAUUUGUCAGACUAUAGUCAUGCGAUGGGGGAAAUUAUGGUGAAGUUGCUUAAGUUGUAUGAUGGUUAUGCAAUGGUCUGGUAAAUGUCGCAUACGAUGGUUGCAGGAUGGUCAGCCUAUAGUGAGACAAUGGUCGCAUGAACUUUGUAUCAUGGUCAAAAGAUGGUCAGAUGAAUGUCAGUGUUUGUUUGAUGAUUGUUUUCGGUUUCUGAAAGCACACUCCUUUUACCCUCCACAACAUAAAACACAACUGUGUUUUUUACGACGUGAAAAGUCAAGACUUGAUGAAUAUUUAUCCACUUGUAAAAUGACUCAACUCUCACUGGUACUCAAUCCACCUUCUGGUCUGCUCCACGCCUCAAACUGUACACCGGGUUUGAAACAUGACAGCCCCCACGUGUGUGCCAAGAAUAAGGCGGUCAUUGUGUGAGACGUGCAAACUGCCCCAGCCCUCCAUUAAUGAGUGAAUGAUCACAGGGUGUUUCAUAUUGUUUCUGUGAAGUGCUAUUAAACAGCUCAUACCAAGGUGUCAUAAACGAUAUGGUAACACGUUAUAAGACUUGGAAUUACCGGCCUGACUUCUGUUAAAUCGCCUAGUCCGCGUAAUUCUUCAUAGUGAGCUAGAAAACCGCAUUGUUCUCCGGUAAUUUGUAUCGUAUACACAUGAUUCUGCCUUUUUUGGUUUUUUCGAUUUUCUGACUUCCCUAAUGCGCCUGGACUGUUUGUGGGUCAUGCCAAACGACAUAAGCACGGCGCUAAAACAUGCCUGGCUGACAUUGGAUAAAUAUAUAUCCCUGUAGCUUGUCAUGUUGUAAACCCCCACCGUUAUACGAACUGACUGAAACAAGUCUUAAUGUGCGUUGGUUUUUGGAAGAUCAAGGCCAGUAUUAUGUUUUUUCUCCCCCCCCCCCCCUCCGCCCCCUUUUCUGAAUCCGUCACAUUUAGAUCUCCAUGUUUGAGGAUGAAAAAUGCAUUAGAUAUUACCAAUUCGUCAUUAAUUUUUAAUUUGGUUAAGGGGAAUCUUGGGUGUCAAACAGGGUUAGGGAGCUUCAAAGGGGGAUAUGAGGAGAGGGUAGUGUUGUGAUGAGGGAGAUGUAGUGCUGGAAGGCCUCGUCCGUUUGGAAAGUGGGGGGGGGAUAUUGAUUGACGCAGACGAUGUUGCGUUACAUUGAGCAUUUCGUCACAUGAAUUAAACAGUGCGUUUGGAUUCUCAGGAUUCAGGCUGAUUUUCUUUUAUAUUGAAGGCGAUGUUAAGACAAUGACCUGGUAAGUCAAAACAAAUGUGUAAUGAAGGUGCGUUUUAAUGCGAGCAUCUAAUGCUAUUGUCGAUUUUUUUGUUUGGGAAAUCAACCCUUUUUCUUCAUGUUUUAUUCAUUAAUCAGUUAUUUCAUGUUUCAUGCUUUCUCCUAACAAAUAGCCUCUUGCCUCCGGUGUAAACAAAUAUUUCUAUAGCUACUGUGUGUGUGUGUGUGUGUGUGUGUGUGUGUGUGUGUGUGUGUGUGUGUGUGUGUGUGUGUGUGUGUGUGUGUGUGUGUGUGUGUGUGUGUGUGUGUGUGUGGAUGACCAUACCUCGUAUCUUUCUCUAUUAUAACUGGGAUCUUCAGGACCUCAUGACUAACCUCCAUUUCUUGGCAGGGCAGAGCAGGGGAAUUCAAUAAAGCAACGUGCCAUGUGAUUGGUCGUUCUCAGACAAUGAAGUAAAGAAACAAACACUUCUUCUUCCUACACUAAGUUCUGCUUUAUGAGUCCCACAGGAAUAUCCCUAAAAGAUAACUUUUACAUUCCGGGCCUGUUGGGAGCACAGUUCUGUCGUAUUGUCCAGCUGUGCUUUGACUUUGUUGACUGUGUUUUAUGAGUGAAGCUCUUAAGAUCAACACUUAGUUUGUUAUUGCCAGACCAGGUGCUUUAUCACAGUGCAUUACUGUAGUAGUAGACCUGUGUGGUGCCUUAUUUACACUGUGACCUAGUUUCAGUGGCAGCAGGACCAGCCAAGCCAUGAGAGUAAAAAUCCAAAUCUCAUAGAAAACAUAACAAACUACUUUUCCCAUGAUCCACUUCUCCCUGUGGAACUUGAGUCAAAUUGAGUGGGAGAUAUCGCCAGAUAGCACGCAGCAUAAUGUGUGUAUUUCUGUCAACUCUACUGACAGCGCUCACAGAGGAAGGCUGACAACCAGCCUCGGCGAGAGACGAGGUACUGCGGCAUCACCCGUAACUAGGAUCCCUGUGUAUUUAGUUUGAGUAUGUGUGCGUGUGUGUGUGUGUGUGUGUGUGUGUUUGUGUUUGCUUCUGCACAGGGUUUUUUGCGUGUAAAUGUGUCAUUGUGUGUGUGCAUAUGGAUGUGUCUGCAUUUGUGACAUUGUAGGCCUGUCUGUCAUUUUGUGUGUGUGUGUAUGUGUGUGCGUGCGUGUGUGUUUGCGCACAUGCACUUCAGUUGGGGAAUGAAUGUGUGUGUGUCAGUUUUUUUUAUGUGUCAUUGUCUGUGUGUCUGUCAUUGUGUGUGUUUGUCUGUGUGGGAGUGUGCCUGUGUGUCUCCUUAUUUGCAUGUGUGCGCGUGUGUGCCUGCGUGAGUGAGUGUGUGCGUGAGUGUGUGCAUGCGUCCGUGCGUGUCUAAAAGUCUGCGUCUCUCUGAGCGUGAACGCGACUGUGCCUUGCCAGGUAUAAUGGCAGCAUGAUGUCGUUGCGGCAGCCUGUCACACCCGCAGCGCUUCCUACCGUCUCCCGCGCACGCCACCACCACGUCGACUCGCCGCAUCAACGCCUCGCAUCAACGCCUCGCCACAGCGCACGGCUCACCGCCGCGGGAGCUGCCUGUUGUCGCAAGGGGCUAGGGAUCUUACUCCGCUGUCCAGUGUGUGUGUGUGUGUGUGUGUGUGUGUGUGUGUGUGUGUGUGUGUGUGUGUGUGUGUGUGUGUGUGUGUGUGUGUGUGUGUGUGUGUGUGUGUGUGUGUGUGUGUGUGUGUGUGUGUGUGUUUCAGGGCCUAGUACGCAGUUACACAAUUUUUUCGUUUUUCGCUCUCGAAUUGUUUGUCGGAUGUGUUUGUCUGAUUGAGUUGCGCCCGUCUCUCGUUCUCUUUCUAACCAAACAACACGUAUAUUAUAUCAGACACCAAGCAUUUGAGGAGCUUUCUGGGGCCUGAGUCAUCAACUGCAUUGCAUGCAAUUUGUAAAGGCACACAGAAACUCAGUCUUAUGAGAGGGGUUAUGACAGUUGGGUAAACAACUGACAUGGGAGGGAGCGGAGUAGAAUGACUGGUGACAUGAGUGGAUAGUCUAGUCUGUGACCUACACAAUCCACUGCGUGGUAACAAGGUUAGGAGUUCUGGAUGUUUUGAUUCCAAUCUGAUCAAUAAAUUGAAAUUACAGUUUAGAGCACGACCGAUAAAGGAUUUUUAAAGCCGAUACGAUACACAUAUUUGGGGAUUUAAAAAUCGGAUAUUCCGAUAUAUCGGCCGAUAAUAUCGGCCCGCCGAUAAAUCGGUCGGGCUCUAAUACAGUUGCUACACUGGGAUUGGGUACAGGAAUGUUAAAUAAUGUCAUCUCCACCUCUCUGAUGUUUUGUGUAAGAAUAUUCAAAUGUAUACAUUGUUUUAAAUUAAUUUGUGAUUCUGAUCUUUUUGGAUUUAUUUAUGUUUAACCACAGUUCUUUUUCCCUUUUAGGCUAUUAUUGACGGAGGCUUUAGGUGGAUAAAGUAAAUUGAUACAAAUAUUUAUUUUAGAAAAGUAAAAAUGCACAUGACGUGGUCUUUGUCAAAUAACCCAACAUUUGCCAUUAUUCUAUGGUUUGACAUGAACGUUUACUGUGGAUUUGCGCCUCAAGCAUGCAAGCGAUGAUCACAGAAACAUACACACAUUUACUGAUAUCAUUCAUGAUAUGUAUUCAUUCAGCAUAUUGAUUGAGAUUAGACUUUGAUACCAGUUGAAAACAGGCCUCCUUUGUUUUCCUCUUCAAGUCGUGAAAGAGAUGCCAUACGACUAUUGCAUUUUAGAUGAUCCACAAGCUACAUGUGUUGGUGUGCGAGUAUGUGUGUGUUUGCGUGUGCGCGUGUGUGUGUGUGUGUGGCCCCAUGUGUUCCUCCAGACAGGCACACACGGUGAUUGCAGGCGUUUUGCAUUUUAAUGACAAAUCAGGUAUGCUAACUUGCUUAAAAAAAACGCACACUCGCAAGAAAAAAAAAAAGAAUAAACGUGGAAAGUGCUCUCUAAAUGUCGCUGCGGCUGUCAACAUGAAAUGUAAGUA